CUCAGCUCCCAGCCCCGCCCGCCCCGGCGGGGGAGCAAACAAGCCUCUCGGCCUGCUGAGUGCCGGUCGGCCCACCAUGUUUUUUGAGAGGAUAGAAGUGAGGGAGAAGAUAUUGGGAGAGAAGUGAAGAAUUUUCUGAUCUACUUUUGGCUGGAUGAGGCUGCUCUAGUUCCUGAGACAAAGUAUGGUAGGCCACUAAUGUUUUUUUUACAUCCAGUUCCAUCAGCCUUGUACUUAGUAGAAAUCCAUACUUAGUGGAGUUAGAAUUCUGACCACAGGUUAUCUGCUGAACUUAGGUUUUGGUUUUGUGGUGAGUUUUCCUUUUUUAUGUGUUUAUGUGUAUUUUAGUGGGAUAUUAGGAGAAAUUGCAUUAGAUAACUAAACAGAUGCCAUUUUUAAUUGGAAUGAUGUAGAGUUUUUAUCUGCUGAGCUAGCAAAUUGCUCAUAUCCUGCCUUGUUUCAAGUAACAGAGGAGUAGCUGUGGGAGGCACGGAGUGGCCUAAGUACAGCCCUUAUCUGUCUGGUGUGGGAGGAAAGGGAGCCCACUCUUCAGUUUGGGAUUGUGUGAUGUCGACUGUCUGGCCACAUGGGGAAUGGGAUGCGGAUGUUAACACAAGUUCAGAUGGAUACUGGUGUUAUGCCAUGAUUCCAUUUAGGAAAAGGGGGAGCUAUUCUUUGACUGAUUCAUGAAGUAUUUAGGAGAGUGUCUGGCAGAUAGGAAGCGCUAUAAGUGUUUUUGAAUCAAACAACCCUAUGAGGUAGGUACUAUUAUCAUACCCAUUUUAUAGAUGAGGAAACUGAGGUUCUGUAAUUUGCCUAAGGUCACACAUUUAAUAGAAGGUAGAGUCUGGGUCCACCUCCAGGCAGCUUUGUUCAAGAUCUCCCAUUCUUAACCACUUGUCAAUUGCCAUACUUGAAAAUCAUUUGGGAUUCUGCCCUGGGCCUCGUUGAGACCACAUUAGUCAUCCCAAAAUGGAAGACAAAUCAGCAGAAUUGCUUUUGUUCCCAUCAAACGAGGUUUAUUAGAAAACCCUCUCAAGUCUUAAUGCUGCCGUUGAGAGUGUCGUCUCUUAAACUGGAAACACCAAUUUUCCAUCUCUCCCCAGGCAUAACUGUUGUUCCCUGGAGCAGAAUAAAAGCAUUGGUGCCUUCCAGGGAAACCUGCCUGAUUCUGCUGGGAUUGGGGAGAGGAAUUGAUGGUGAAUUUCAUCACAUUCCCUACCUCCACCCUCUAUCAAGAUGGAUUGUCUCCUCUGUCCUAUUAAUAAGAAACAGAGAAAACAUGUAAACAGUCCUGGGAAAGGAGGCAUCAAACUAAAUUAACAGUAAAGCAUCGAUGAGAUCUUUCAUCCCAAGUGGAAAAUCUCAAGGACACGGCAGCUCAGAAAAAAAAGAAAGAAAGGAAGGCUCUAGAAAAACUGUAAUGAGGUCACAGUAGAGAGGCCAAAUGUACUGAUGACAAGGCUUCCAAGCCUGGUUCUGCCCAGGCUGAUCCUGCAAACCUGUGAUCACUAGGGAUAGCACUUUACUGAGGGGUGACAACCAGGCAGAGGGCUGUGACACUGAAGAGUCCAUGGGAGGGGACAUUCCUCAGACACUGACAUAUUUUGCUGAUACACUAAGAGAAGGAUUUGAGACAUUGAAGCCCUGAACUUCGAUCUCAGAAUAACUCUGACCCACUCCAGCGGCAGCAUCCAGCCUCGUAGUCGUUUGUUCCAAGGAAGGGUGAUGUUGGUGUUGGACUGACCUGCGAAGUCCCCAUCAGCCACCAUGAAAGACCCUCUUACAAUCAGAGCAUCAGCUAAGUGUUUUCUUCAUAAACUGUAAUUGUUAACCUUUAUGAAAUCACUAUUAGGAAUUACUGAGUUCUCAAAAGUUAAAUCAGCCAUUAUUUCUUCAUUGGACAUUUUUCCUUCCUUUUUAUCUUCAAAGAUAUCUAUAACAAUAUAGAUAGAGAUCACGUAUUUAUCAGUAUAAGCUAAUAUAUUGGCUUACAUUAAUGUAACUAAUAUCCUAAUGUACAUUGACAGAAAAUGGGUCUUUGCAGAUGCAAUUAAGGUGAGGGUCAAAUCAUCCUGGCUUAGGGUGGGCCUUAUAUCCAAUGAGAGUGCCCUUAUAAGAGACAGAAAAGGACAGAGAAGAAGGAGAGGUGAAGACAGAGGGAGAGUUUGGUGUGAUACGCCAACAAGACAAGGACCGCCAGUGAUUGCUAGGAGGCGUCAGAAGCUGGAAGAGGCGAGAAAGGGUUCUCCCCUAGGGUAUCCGAUGGAGCGUGGCCCGGCUGGCACCCUGGUUAAAGACUUCUAGCCUCCAGAACUAUGAGAAGAUAAACGUCUGUCAUUUCAAGCCACCCAGGUUAAGGUAAUUUGUUAUAGCAGCCCUAGGAAACGAACACAAUGACGAAGCGCUAACAUAAAGUUGUGUGCUGAACACCAGUUGCUUGAGGGGGUGGGGAGAACGAGAGGGGAUUUACCAUGAAGCUAAGGAAGCAAAGGGACCCUUACUUACAUUGGCCUCUUUUAAGGCACUGGCAAUGUGCUCACAUAGUCAUAUUUUUAAUUAAAUAAAAUUAAUAAUUUUGAAUUAUUUAAUAUAUUAAAAUACAAGCUAUCUUAGUAACAAUUGAUUAAGACCGAUAAUCCUUUCCCCUUAAUCACACUUCCCUUCAAAGUUAUUGAAGUACCUGUGAGCAUUUGUGGAUUCAACUAAGGUGGGGAGUUUAGUUUGGUUUAGAGGAAUUUCGUGUCUGUGGUUCACAGGGACUUUGGAGUUUAGUUCAGUGAUGUUGCUGGAGGUUCCAGUAGGGGACUGGUACCCAAAGUCCUCCAACUGCUCAAUGGGUGGGGGACGGAGUCAGAGGUUGUAUAGUGAAACGCAUUUAUCCUACAGCACGUGACACUGCAAGGAUGUGGGUGAUAAAGGAGAAAUAGCAAAGAGAAUGAGGCCAGAAGCUAGUCUGCAUACAGUCUCCCAAAGAUCUAUGUUUAUUAUUGGAAGGGGAGGGUUCAGUUUUCCCUAAAGACUGAUAAGUAAUCUGUCAGGAGUAUAUUCCAUUUCUUCAGCGUAUACAGUUAGAAAUGCACCAUAAUUUUUUCUUUCUUGGUGGGAAUUGUGCAGAAUAGACUAUAAUUGUUGUGUUUGCAGAGCAAAAGCACGUAGCAGUCCUCAGAGGGUAAGUACAUCUGUAACUGUGCAUAUAACAAACUUGGUAGAAGUUUUCCUAAAUUUCACAAAAAUCCUCAAAAUUUACAUGACAUUGACCAUAACAAGUUGUGAAUCUGAAAGAAACCUUUUAAAAUUAUCAACAAUAAAAAUGUAUUUUAAUCAACUCUCCUAGAAGAAUGAUUGAAUUAUCUUUUAAUUCUAUGAAAAAUUGUAUUAUAAAGCCCUUGUUAUAAGAAGUGGCAAUCAAAGCAGAUGUAGCCAAAAGAUGUCAAAAAAAAAGAAUGAUAAAAGUGAUUCAGGCUGCUAAUUAAUAAAAAUAUUGUGUUAUUUGUCUGGA